rnacentral:rRNA from 1 species
UACGUAGGGCGCAAGCGUUGUCCGGAAUUAUUGGGCGUAAAGAGCUCGUAGGCGGCUUGUUGCGUCGGCUGUGAAAUCCCGAGGCUCAACCUCGGGUCUGCAGUCGAUACGGGCAAACUAGAGUGUUGCAGGGGAGACUGGAAUUCCUGGUGUAGCGGUGAAAUGCGCAGAUAUCAGGAGGAACACCGGUGGCGAAGGCGGGUCUCUGGGCAACAACUGACGCUGAGGAGCGAAAGCGUGGGGAGCGAACAGG